UCUGGCGUGGUCUAGUGGCUAUGAUAUCUGGUUUUCACCCAGAAGGCCCGCGUUCGAUUCUCGGCGUCGGAA
rnacentral:tRNA from 1 species